AAAAAUAAUAAAACACUCUGCCGGAUAGUUAUGCCAGUGCCAAGGUGGCAGUUUUGCACCCGCCUAAGAUUGUUCCAGUCUGACCAUCUGCGCCCCCAAAUACUUAGAUUUUGCUGGAGAUCAUUGCAUCUACUUCACAGCAUGGAAAGGAUGCAUGGAUGUCGUUAAACACUGGUGCAGAAAUGUUCAACAAUUUAAGAAAAUGUUUGCCAUUGUACAGGAACGAAAAGCCACUGCUUGUAAGGAAUAGAAAUGACACAAACUUGGAUCGAACACUUUAGCGCGUGAACUUGAAUGAUAAUUGAUAUUUAGUAAAUGUGAAAUUAAUCAUGUAAGGUCAUUGAAAAAAAACAAAACAUGAAUACAUUUUGAUUUUUUUAAUUUCAUAAAACAAUUUGUAAAUAAGCAAUAUUAAUGUACAAAAUAUUUACAUCUUUUUCUUCAAUAAAACAAUUAAAUUAAAGUG
rnacentral:sRNA from 1 species